rnacentral:rRNA from 1 species
AACGAACGCUGGCGGCAGGCUUAACACAUGCAAGUCGAGCGCCUCGCAAGAGGAGCGGCCGACGGGUGAGUAACGCGUGGGAACGUACCCUUAUCUUCGGAAUAGCUCUGGGAAACUGGAAGUAAUACCGAAUGUGCCCUUAGGGGGAAAGAUUUAUCGGAUAAGGAUCGGCCCGCGUUGGAUUAGCUAGUUGGUGGGGUAAAGGCCUACCAAGGCGACGAUCCAUAGCUGGUCUGAGAGGAUGAUCAGCCACAUUGGGACUGAGACACGGCCCAAACUCCUACGGGAGGCAGCAGUGGGGAAUAUUGGACAAUGGGCGCAAGCCUGAUCCAGCCAUGCCGCGUGAGUGAUGAAGGCCUUAGGGUUGUAAAGCUCUUUCACCGGAGAAGAUAAUGACGGUAGCCGGAGAAGAAGCCCCGGCUAACUUCGUG